rnacentral:lncRNA from 1 species
AUGACUGGGUAGGGACCAUUUCUGGCCUGGGUGACUUUGGCAUCUAGAUACUUGCAUACAUCUGAUAUCCAAUUGUUCCAGUGCAAUUUAUUGAAUAGACUUUUUCUUCAUUGAAUUACCUCAGUGCCUUUGUUGAAAAUAAAUUGGCCAUAAAUGUACACUUAUUACAACUCGUGAAAUACUAUUUCUGCAUCUAUAGAAACGAUCAUGAAAAAUUUCAAUCACAAAUUCAUGGGCAUUCUCAAAAUAACAGGUCAAUGCUCCCUUCUCAAAAGUGUCAUGGUGAUGAAAGACCAGGAACUGUACUGGACUGGAAGGAACUAAGAAGGCAUGGCAACCAAAUGCGUGUGGGACCCUGGGUGGGGUCUCCAACCAGAGAAGGGACAUUAAGGGGGUAAAUGGGUGGAACUCCACUGGGGUUUGCAGAGUAGUGAGUUAAAGUG